rnacentral:rRNA from 1 species
UACAGAGGGGGCAAGCGUUGUUCGGAAUUACUGGGCGUAAAGGGCGCGUAGGCGGCCCGCUAAGUCGAACGUGAAAUCCCCAGGCUUAACCUGGGAACUGCGUCCGGUACUGGCAGGCUUGAAUCCGGGAGAGGGAUGUGGAAUUCCAGGUGUAGCGGUGAAAUGCGUAGAUAUCUGGAGGAACACCGGUGGCGAAGGCGGCAUCCUGGACCGGCAUUGACGCUGAGGCGCGAAAGCUAGGGGAGCAAACGGG